AGACCUUCAUGAAAUUACUGAAGCUAAGCAAAUAUGUUAUCUGGUUCAACAUGAAUUUCUGCCUGAUCUUAUGGGAAGCUCCCGAUCAUGAAUUGUACCACACUGUUGGUUCCACUUUGAGGCAAAUGACUUGUCUACCCUAUGUAGGUGUCCAUGGGAGUGUGUGGGGUGUGUGUGUCUGUGUGUUAGUGUGUGUGUGUGUGUGUGGCUUCUAACCUUUAGCAGAAGAAGGAGCUUUGAGUCAUUAACUCUUAGAUCAAGGGAUUGAUACAUUGGCCCACUGAAGGGCAUCUGGCAUGGCACCUUGAGCUCUUUCUAAAGUUUAUUUGGGAAAAAAAUUAAAUCACACAUUUUCCUUGUCCAGGAACUCACAAACUUAAGAAAGUUAGCCACAUCCACAUAGUCUAGGGAACAAGAAAGAAUAAUCAAUAACAAAGAGAAUAUGUUUGUAUUUAUCUAUCUAUCUAUCUAUCUAUAUAUAUAUAUAUAUAUAUAUGAGAGAGAAA
rnacentral:lncRNA from 1 species